rnacentral:rRNA from 1 species
GACGAACGCUGGCGGCGUGCUUAACACAUGCAAGUCGAGCGGUAAGGCCCUUCGGGGUACACGAGCGGCGAACGGGUGAGUAACACGUGGGUGACCUGCCUCUAGCUCUGGGAUAAGCCUGGGAAACUGGGUCUAAUACCGGAUAUGACUCCACGGCGCAUGUUGUGGGGUGGAAAGCCUUGUGUGGCUAGAGAUGGGCCCGCGGCCUAUCAGCUUGUUGGUGGGGUGAUGGCCUACCAAGGCGACGACGGUAGCCGGCCUGAGAGGGCGACCGGCCACACUGGGACUGAGACACGGCCCAGACUCCUACGGGAGGCAGCAGUGGGGAAUCUUGCGCAAUGGGCGAAAGCCUGACGCAGCGACGCCGCGUGAGGGAUGACGGCCU